CACACAGCCACGGCGAACGCCGUUCAUGAAGGGAGGGUGUCAACCAGCACAGGAGGCUCACUCACGGGUCUGUCCGGCGCCCAAUUUGAAACCCUACUCAACAUGAUCGCAGCUCACGAGGGGCGAAAUGAGUCACUUGACCGCGUAUCAAAGAGGACGGUUGGAUUGGGUAAGCUGCAAAGGGGGGGUCUACUACCUACAAUGGGUGGCAUCCUCGGCAUUGGCUUGUUAGGCAUUAUGAGUUGGCUCAAGAGACAUCUGGCAUAAACGUCUUGGGCAUCCAUCCAGUGAUAUUACAAUAAAGGAGAUUGAUUUUGAUUUUAGUUAUUUGAAGAAUAAGAAUUGUGAUGUAUGUCUUCGAGCCAAACAGACUCGUUCACAAUUCAAUUUGAGUUCGAAUAAAGCUUCUGCAUCAUUUCA